rnacentral:rRNA from 1 species
UGGGGAAUUUUGGACAACGGGCGCAAGCCUGAUCCAGCCAUGCCGCGUGCGGGAAGAAGGCCUUCGGUUGUAAACCGCUUUUGUCAGGGAAGAAAUCUUCUGAGUUAAUACCUCGGGAGGAUGACGGUACCUGAAGAAUAAGCACCGGCUAACUACGUGCCAGCAGCCGCGGUAAUACGUAGGGUGCAAGCGUUAAUCGGAAUACUGGGCGUAAAGCGUGCGCAGGCGGUUUUGUAAGACAGAGGUGAAAUCCCCGGGCUCAACCUGGGAACUGCCUUUGUGACUGCAAGGCUUGAGUGCGGCAGAGGGGGAUGGAAUUCCGCGUGUAGCAGUGAAAUGCGUAGGUAUGCGGAGGAACACCGAUGGCGAAGGCAAUCCCCUGGGCCUGCACUGACGCUCAUGCACGAAAGCGUGGGGAGCAAACAGGAUUAGAUACCCUGGUAGUCCACGCCCUAAA